GCCCCGAUGGCGGAAUUGGCAGACGCACCGGACUUAAAAUCCGGAGCCCGAAAAGGGCGUGCGGGUUCGAAACCCGCUCGGGGCACCA
rnacentral:tRNA from 1 species